AACGAACGCUGGCGGCAUGCCUAACACAUGCAAGUCGAACGAGAUCUUCGGGUCUAGUGGCGCACGGGUGCGUAACGCGUGGGAACCUGCCCUUUGGUUCGGAAUAACCGUUGGAAACGACUGCUAAUACCGGAUGAUGACGAAAGUCCAAAGAUUUAUCGCCCGAGGAGGAGACCGCGUAGGAUUAGCUAGUUGGUGUGGGAAAGGCGCACCAAGGCGACGAACCUUAGCUGGUCUGAGAGGAUGAUCAGCCACACUGGGACUGAGACACGGCCCCGACUCCUACGGGAGGCAGCAGUGGGGAAUAUUGGACAAUGGGCGAAAGCUUGAUCCAGCAAUGCCGCGUGAGUGAUGAAGGCCUUAGGGUUGUAAAGCUCUUUUACCCGGGAUGAUAAUGACAGUACCGGGAGAAUAAGCUCCGGCUAACUCCGUGCCAGCAGCCGCCGUAA
rnacentral:rRNA from 1 species